AGAUGCAUUUAUAUAAGGAAAAAUGCCGAAACUCUUUAAACCUUCGAAGUUAAACCCGUGUGAGCUCAUUAAGUGCUAUGGUAGGCGAUCACAUGGGAACAGUGAGUGCUACAAUUU
rnacentral:rRNA from 1 species